rnacentral:snRNA from 1 species
UUACUUACCUGGACAGGGUCUAUGGGUGAUCAAGGAGCCUCAUGGACCAGUGGCCUGCAUUGCAUUGGCGGGUGCGUUGGUCUACCGUCUCCUCAAGUGCCUCAAGUGGGAGAUUGGACGUCAUAAUUUGUGGAAGAAGAGAUACAAUUCAAAUAUAAGAUUACUGUUUUUUUC